AAACGGCCCGUACCGUAAACCGACACAGGUAGUCGAGGAGAGUAUCCUAAGGUGUGCGAGAGAACUCUCGUUAAGGAACUCGGCAAAAUGACCCCGUAACUUCGGGAGAAGGGGUGCUGUUCGCAAGAACAGCCGCAGUGAAUAGGCCCAAGCGACUGUUUAUCAAAAACACAGGUCUCUGCAAAAUCGAAAGAUGAAGUAUAGGGGCUGACGCCUGCCCGGUGCUGGAAGGUUAAGAGGAGUGCUUAGCGCAAGCGAAGGUACGAAUUGAAGCCCCAGUAAACGGCGGCCGUAACAAUAACGGUCCUAAGGUAGCGAAAUUCCUUGUCGGGUAAGUUCCGACCCGCACGAAAGGCGUAACGAUUUGGGCACUGUCUCAACGAGAGACUCGGUGAAAUUUUAGUACCUGUGAAGAUGCAGGUUACCCGCGACAGGACGGAAAGACCCCAUGGAGCUUUACUGUAAUUUGAUAUUGAGUGUCUGUACCGCAUGUACAGGAUAGGUAGGAGCCGUAGAGAUCGGGACGCUAGUUUCGAUGGAGGCAAUGGUGGGAUACUACCCUUGCGUUAUGGCCACUCUAACCCGCAUCACUAAUCGUGAUGGGAGACAGUGUCAGAUGGGCAGUUUGACUGGGGCGGUCGCCUCCUAAAAGGUAACGGAGGCGCCCAAAGGUUCCCUCAGAAUGGUUGGAAAUCAUUCGUAGAGUGCAAAGGCAAAAGGGAGCUUGACUGCGAGAGCUACAACUCGAGCAGGGACGAAAGUCGGGCUUAGUGAUCCGGUGGUUCCGCAUGGAAGGGCCAUCGCUCAACGGAUAAAAGCUACCCUGGGGAUAACAGGCUUAUCUCCCCCAAGAGUCCACAUCGACGGGGAGGUUUGGCACCUCGAUGUCGGCUCGUCGCAUCCUGGGGCUGUAGUCGGUCCCAAGGGUUGGGCUGUUCGCCCAUUAAAGCGGCACGCGAGCUGGGUUCAGAACGUCGUGAGACAGUUCGGUCCCUAUCCGUCGCGGGCGUUGGAAAUUUGAGAGGAGCUGUCCUUAGUACGAGAGGACCGGGAUGGACUUACCGCUGGUGUACCAGUUGUCUCGCCAGAGGCAUCGCUGGGUAGCUAUGUAGGGAAGGGAUAAACGCUGAAAGCAUCUAAGUGUGAAGCCCACCUCAAGAUGAGAUUUCCCAUUUCUUUAAGAAAGUAAGAUCCCUGAGAGAUGAUCAGGUAGAUAGGUCAGGAGUGGAAGUGCAGCGAUGUACGGAGCGGACUGAUACUAAUCGAUCGAGGACUUAAUC
rnacentral:rRNA from 1 species